rfam:Triticum aestivum genome assembly, contig: Triticum_aestivum_CS42_TGACv1_scaffold_212236_3AS
GUACUACUCCCUCCGUUUAGAAUUACUUGUCGCAGAAAUGGAUGUAUCUAGAUGUAUUUUAGUUCUAAAUAAAUCCAUUUUCGAGACAAGUAAUUCCGAACGGAAGAAGUAUACU